GACGAACGCUGGCGGCGUGCUUAACACAUGCAAGUCGAACGGAAAGGCCCUGCUUUUGUGGGGUGCUCGAGUGGCGAACGGGUGAGUAACACGUGAGUAACCUGCCCUUGACGUUGGGAUAACUUCAGGUAACUGGGGCUACUACCGGAUAGGUGCCCCUGCUGCAUGGUGGGGGUUGGAUAGUUUCGGCGGUUGGGGAUGGACUCGCGGCUUAUCAGCUUGUUGGUGGGGUAGUGGCUUACCAAGGCUUUGACGGGUAGCCGGCCUGAGAGGGUGACCGGCCGCACUGGGACUGAGAGACGGCCCAGACUCCUACGGGAGGCAGCAGGGAGGAGUAUUGCACAAUGGGCGGAAGCCUGAUGCAGCAACGCCGCGUGCGGGAUGACGGCCUUCGGGUUGGAAACCGCUUUCGCCUGUGACGAAGCGUGAGUGACGGUAAUGGGUAAAGAAGCACCGGCUAACUACGUG
rnacentral:rRNA from 1 species